CGGGACGGGUGAGUAACGCGUGGGUAACCUGCCUUGUACUGGGGGACAACAGUUAGAAAUGACUGCUAAUACCGCAUAAGCGCACAGUAUCGCAUGAUACAGUGUGAAAAACUACCGGUGGUACAAGAUGGACCCGCGUCUGAUUAGCUAGUUGGUAAGGUAACGGCUUACCAAGGCGACGAUCAGUAGCCGACUGAGAGGUUGAACGGCCACAUUGGGACUGAGACACGGUCCAA
rnacentral:rRNA from 1 species